CCUACGGGAGGCAGCAGUGAGGAAUAUUGGUCAAUGGGCGCGAGCCUGAACCAGCCAAGUCGCGUGAGGGAGGACGGCCCUACGGGUUGUCAACCUCUUUUGCCGGGGAGCAACGGGCGUCACGUGUGGCUCCACUGAGAGUACCCGGAGACAAAGCAUCGGCUAACUCCGUGCCAGCUGCCGCGGUAAUACGGAGGAUGCCAGCGUUCUCCGGCUUUAUUUGGUUUAAAGGGUGCGUAGGCGGCUCGUUAAGUCAGUGGUCAAAUUGAGGGGCUCAACCCUUUCCCGCCAUUGAAACUGGCGCGCGUGAGUGGAAGAGAAGUAGGCGGAAUGCGUGGUGUAGCGGUGAAAUGCAUAGAUAGCACGCAGAACCCCGAUGGCGAAGGCAGCAUGCCGGCUUCCGACUGACGCUGAAGCACGAAAGCGUGGGGAUCGAACAGGAUUAGAUACCCUAGUAGUC
rnacentral:rRNA from 1 species